GCUGUAUGCCGUAAAGUGCAGCUGCCGUUCAAGUGAAGUAUAAAUCGGAACGACAGGUUCUUACUGCCUCGUUUUCCAGAUCUGAAAGGGAAGAGUUUGCAGGCCAAUCGACUUGCGAAUCGUAGAACAUGCAAUCAACGUAAGCAAGAAAUUUAGGGCUACUAGCCACUUGUGUGGACAACCUGCGUCCGAAGAGGCUCGAGUGAUGGUGCUCAGAUGAAGUGAAAGACGGGGGAUUGAAGAAUACCAGGUUCCAGCCCCUGGCUUGUGGUACUGACCCGUGAACCUGGCAAUGGCCCUGCAUAAAGGUCUUGCUGUCCAGUAGAGGGCGCUCUUGGUCGCGUAAUGCUAGUGCUCCUUGGCUGGUAAACGGUGUCUCUCCCUGCACCAGCUGUUUGGGUUGGUCCAGUGCAUGCCGUCCCUGAUGCUUUGUGAAGUUGGCGCUUCAAAGUGAGCUGGGUGGCUGAGUUUGGGAGUCGCACGGUCGCCAAAGCUGUCAAUUAAGAUGCUGGUGUGGAGGACCUGGAUGGCAGCUUAGUAGAAUUUCCUGCACUGGGCAGGGACCUCUGCUUGUUUUGACAGCUACCUGAUCGACCACAGUCUCCCAAUACUGUCCCAUUCAUCAGUACUGUCUGAAGACCAAUCAAGAUCUGUGUUCCAGAAUGUAUUGUAGCUUGAAAUGUAUUGUUUGGAUGAAUGUAGAUGGCAGUGGGUUAUUUAUGCAAUGAAUCCUUGAAGAUUAAAAAAAAUAUAUGUUCAGAUGGUGACAAAUUAAUGGAAACUUGAAUAAAUGAGUGGAGAAACUUAAUAUAGUUGCUUCCGUACAGGUAUACUGCCUGAUAGAAUUAAGGAAUUAACAUUCUGUCGUGCCCUGUGACAUGCAUACCAAUUCUGAGUAGGCCCUGUUGACCUCCAUUUUGGAUCAAGAUGACAAGAGGAAAAGACCUAAGUGACUUUGAAAGAGGGUUCAUUAUUGGAGCACGAAUGGCGGGAGCUUCAGUCACUAAGACUGCUCAACUGGCUGGUGUUUCAAUUGGAACAGUGACUAAAGUGACGUCUGCAUUUCGAUCUAUGGGAAAGACGUCAGUUAAUAGGGCAGGAAAUUGUGGUCGAAAGCGCACAUUCGAUGAUCAUGACGCUCGUGCGUUGGUGCGAUAUGUAAAGAAAAACAGAACGGCAACUCUCCCUCAGGUGACUGAGACUGUCAAUGCAGGGCGUGAUCACACCGUGUCAGCAAGAACAGUCCGUAGACAACUACACAGAGAGGGAUAUUAUAGGGUUACAGUGCAAAAACCCCAGAAACCAUAACCACAGGCACUGUGCUACAGAGAUGUGGAAAGCUGAUCUGGUCAGAUGAGUCAUACUUCACCAUGUUCUUGAUAAGUGGGUGAGUGCAUGUGUGGCGUACUCCAAGCGAGUGGUACAGGCAUGAAUGCUUGACCCUUGCAGUGAAUUCUCCUGGUAUGGUUUGUCCCCUUAGAGGGAAGGGAUACUGCAGAUCAAUACAAAGUUAUUCUGAGUGAUCACCUUUAUCCUAUUUCUAUCCUGAUGGGAGUGUUCUCUUCCUGGAUAAUAAUGCUCUGAUCCACAGGGCACGAGGGGUCACUGAAUGGUUUGAUGAGUAUGAAAAUGCUGUGAAUCAUAUGCUAUGGCCUUUGCAGUCAACACAAUUUAACACCUAUUGGAGAUUUUGGUUAGCGCUCUCCAGCGUAAAAACAUAAAAUGAGGGAAUAUCUUGGUAGAAUGGUGUUCCAUGCCUCCAGUAGAGUUUCAGGGACUUGUAGCAUCUAUGCCAAGGUGCAUUGAAGCUGUUUUGGAGGCUUGAGGUGGCCCAACUCCUUACCAAGACACUUUAUGUUGGUUUUUCCUUGAAUUUGUCACCUGUCUGUAUGUAUACACUACAUGGCCAAAAGUAUGUGGACACCCCUUUUAAUUAGUGGGUUUUGCCACACCCAUGCAAUCUAACAUUGACAAACAUUGGCAAUAGAAUGGAUUGUACAGAAGGCGACUUGGUGACUUUGAACGUGGCACUGUCACAGGAUGCCACCUUUCCUACAUGUCAUUUCGUCAAAUUUCUGCCCAGCUGGAGCCACCUUGGUCAACUAAGUGCCGUCAUUGUGGUUAAGUGGAAAUGUCGAGGAGCAAAAACCGCUCAGCCUCGAAGCGCUAGGCCACACAAGGUCACAGAACUGGGCUGCUGAGUGCUGAAGCUUGUUGCGUGUAAAAAUUUGUCUUCGGGUUGGAGCACUCGCUGCCAAGUUCCAGACCCGCCGGAGGCGACGUCUGCACAAGAACUGUUCAUCGGGAGCUUCGCAAAAUGGGUUUCCAUGGCCAACCAGUUGCCCGCCAGCCUAAGAUCACCAUUCGCAACGCUGAGCGUCGGCUGGAGUGUUGUAAAGCACACCGCCAUUGGACUGUGUAGCAGUGGGCAUGCAUUCUCUGGAGUGAUGAAUCCCGCUUCGCUUUCUGGCAGUCUGAUGGACGAAUCUGGGUUUGGCGAAUGCCAAAACGCUAACUGCCCGAAUGCACAGUGUCAACUAAUGUUUGGUGGAGGAGGAAUAAUGGUCUGGGGCUGUUUUUCAUGGUAUGGACUAGGUCCCUUAGUUCCAUUGAAGGGAAAAUGUAAUCGUACAGCAUGCAAUGACAUUCUAGAGAUCUGUGUGCUUCCAACUUUGUGGCAACAGUUUGGGGAAGGCCCUUUCCUGAAAAUUUUGGGAAUGCCAGCUCUUCCUUUGUUGGACAUAGUCUUGUGGUGAACUUGGGGGGGGAUUUGCUGUAUUAAGUUUUAAAUGUGCAUAUGUUCAUGCGCUAAAAGAGGCUAACAUGAUCUUUGUUUUCACAAUACACAAGUGGCUGAGUGUGUGUUGAUGUGAGAGAAGCUGGUUUCGAGGGCCCCACUGGCCGUACAGAGAGGCUUCUGGCAACGCUUAGAGGAGUUCACAGGACUGGACUCCAAUGCGGGUCACGGGAAAGGGAUUAAAGGCCUGACUUUAUAGAGUAAAGCCUUCACUCAUACUGCAUUAGGCUUUCAUUUUUGCUUGUUGACUUGUUCAUUGAUGUUAAGAGGAAGGCCGAAUUGUAAUUUCCCCUUUUGCAGGAACCAGUUCGGGCUGCCACAGAGCAAGCCUGUUCAGUUUUGGGACUGUGAGAUAUGAGGCAUGUAUACCGGUUGAAUUUACUCCCACGGCUAUUCUCAAUAAAAACCUGAAUUGGGGAAUCUUAA